AUUUUGGCAUUUUUUUGCGAGAUGUGACGUGUACAAUUAUCACAUCCACGUGUACAACAUUUUUAAAUGGCCGGAAAAAGACAAAUUUUGAGCCUUAAUAAGGUGGUCUUACACCCAUAUUUUCAAUUUUUUUGCAAUUAAUUGUAGGGUAGAUGUAAGUUUAUAUUAUAGUAGAGUACAAAAAGGUGAUCAAGAAAAUACAUCACUUUACAUGUGUGUUGCCAUGGUUACCAUGGUAAUUACCCCCUAGUGAGAAAAUAAGCACCUAUUUUCAGACUAGAUUAAGCUUCAGUGGAU